rnacentral:rRNA from 1 species
UACGUAGGGUGCGAGCGUUGUCCGGAAUUAUUGGGCGUAAAAGGGUGCGUAGGCGGCGGAGUAAGUUGGGUGUGAAAUCCCGGGGCUCAACCUCGGAAUUGCAUUCAAAUACUGCUUCGCUCGAGUACUGGAGAGGAGGCUGGAAUUUACGGUGUAGCAGUGAAAUGCGUAGAUAUCGUAAGGAAGGCCGGUGGCGAAAGCGAGCCUCUGGACAGUUACUGACGCUGAUGCACGAAGGCCAGGGGAGCAAACGGG